rnacentral:rRNA from 1 species
AUACGGAGGACGCGAGCGUUAUCCGGAUUCAUUGGGUUUAAAGGGUGCGCAGGCGGCCGUGCAAGUCAGCGGUGAAAGCCCGGGGCCCAACCCCGGAAGUGCCGUUGAUACUGCAUGGCUUGAAUGCGGUCGAGGCGGGCGGAACGGGGCGUGGAGCGGUGGAAUGCGUAGAUAUGCCACAGAACGCCGAUAGCGGAGGCAGCUCGCAAGGCGUGCAUUGACGCUCGGGCACGAAAGCGUGGGGAUCGAACAGGAUUAGAUACCCUGGUAGUCCACGCCGUAAACGAUGGGCGCUCGUCGUCGGCGACAGACAGUCGGCGGCCAAGCGAAAGCGAUAAGCGCCCCACCUGGGGAGUACGGCCGCAAGGCUGAAACUUAAAGGAAUUGACGGGG